rnacentral:rRNA from 1 species
UUAAUGGAGAGUUUGAUCCUGGCUCAGGACGAACGCUGGCGGCGUGCCUAAUACAUGCAAGUCGAGCGGGGUUAGUUAGAAGCUUGCUUCUAAUUAACCUAGCGGCGGACGGGUGAGUAACACGUAGGCAACCUGCCCACAAGACAGGGAUA